UACGUAGGGGGCAAGCGUUGUCCGGAAUCAUUGGGCGUAAAGAGCGUGUAGGCGGCUCGGUAAGUCCGCUCUGAAAGCCCGGGGGCUCAACCCCGGGAGGCGGGCGGAUACUGUCGGGCUAGAGUCCGGAAGAGGCGAGUGGAAUUCCUGGUGUAGCGGUGAAAUGCGCAGAUAUCAGGAGGAACACCAACGGCGAAAGCACUCUGCUGGGCCGACACUGACACUGAGAGACGAAAGCUAGGGGAGCGAAUGGG
rnacentral:rRNA from 1 species